rnacentral:rRNA from 1 species
UACGAAGGGGGCUAGCGUUGCUCGGAAUCACUGGGCGUAAAGCGCACGUAGGCGGCUUUUUAAGUCAGGGGUGAAAUCCUGGAGCUCAACUCCAGAACUGCCUUUGAUACUGGAAAGCUCGAGUCCGGAAGAGGUGAGUGGAACUGCGAGUGUAGAGGUGAAAUUCGUAGAUAUUCGCAAGAACACCAGUGGCGAAGGCGGCUCACUGGUCCGGUACUGACGCUGAGGUGCGAAAGCGUGGGGAGCGAACAGG